CAGCCCCCCAACUCCACGCACUUCCCUGAGAUGGGAAAUCCACUGCACUUAAGGCCUGCCCUGCUUCUUUGCAAAGGCCCUGGGCUGUGAGCCCCUUGGCCUGUGAAACAGAAGAGCCUUGGAGCUGAUGUAGCCGCUGCUGGACACCUGACCACGAUCCUUACCUGAGUGCGUGCGACUGCUUGCUGAGGGCUUCACGGACACUAGAGUGACCGCUUGCCAAGUUCCCUGUCACACUCAGCCAGAACUCAUGCUGAGUUUUAAGACCAGAUUCCCACCACGAGCAAAACCCCACACUACACCUUCCAACACCUCCAAGAUGCCAAGCACUUCCUUCCCAUCCUGGGUUCAUAAACCCAAAAGAAAAAAAUAGUGUUGUGCAGACCCGGAAGGUAGAGGGAGGUUAUAGGUUAUAAGCAGGUACCAUAGAAAAAAAUGAGAUAAACUGGCAGUUUUCUAAGAUAUCAGCAUACAUAAUAAGCACAAGAGAAGUGGGCAGGGCAUAAAAUGCUUAUGCAAGAUCACCCUGGUGUGUUGGGUUGUUUUCCUUUUUAAUUAGCCCCUUGAUCCCAAAUUAAGGCUCUGUCAUCUCAUGGUGCAUGCACCUUUCUGCCUGUGGCAGAGUCAGGCCACCCCAGGGUAUAAACUUGUUGGUGUGGCUGUGCUGGAUAAGUGUAAUUCAAAGAGGAUUUCAGCAGCUGUAGCUGUUCCAGGGCCCACCCUAAACCAUCAUGCUUCUUCUCUGCCUAGGGCCUGAGACCACCUGGCAAAUGGGUGGAAUCUGUUUUUGGUGUGAACUUUAAGACUCCAUAGUUAACUUACCUGCAAUAUUUAAAAUCAUGAGAUCCAGCAACCUGUCCAUCAGUUACAUCUUAUGAGUAACAUAGAUAAGGCUAAGAUAAAACACAACACUGUUUCUCAUCCCUUCAUCCCAGAAACAGCCGUGUAGAUAGGUUCAAACAUAUAUUAAUCGACACAGUCUCCCUUCCUGGUGACCAGACAAUGGUCACCUGAUUGAAAAACUAGCAGGACUAUGGAUGAGGAUAUAGUUUUUUCUAUUUGAGGUUUAAAUAUCUUUCCAUCCCAAAGUCUGAGUUAUUCAAGGUCUGGCUCAUUCUGUUGACAAGACCUACAUACAUGUGGAUCCAGUCAAACUUGCAUGGCUGAACAAACUACUAAAGUAAUAUAAUUAAGUAAUUGCUAUAUACUCUUGUGGAUGAGGGGUAGGAUGGAAAGGCUCAGAUUCCUUCUGGUUGAAUUAAAAUCUCUAUCAGCAUGUGGUUAGAUUGACAUUGCUAGAAAGGGAGCCUGAAACUAAACAUACAUUAAACGAAGAAGGUAUUUUGUAAUUCCCUUGGCUGAAGAUCCAGUGUCUAAGCUAGAAUCUUUGCAGAGCACAGAAUCCUGUGUGUUCGUGGGAUGUACCUACCCCACUGCAAAUUGAGCCUAAUUGAGCAAACCACUCCGAUGGUUUCACCUUCCCCUGUCAUAGUGAUGCAGUGAACAAAGCUAUUUCAGUGAGAAUGAAAGGGAAAUUUGGCAAGGAAUAUCAGCUUGCACUAUUUAAGUCUUGGAAUGUCAUUCAAGAUGUUCUUGUUCUGUUUCUAGUGUAAUGUUUAAGCCCACAGAAUCAGACCGGAAUAUAUAACGUCAUGUUAGAAUUAAGAUAAAUACACUUGUCAUACUUAAGAAGCCACAUUUCAAUAAGAUAUGCUACCACUGGCUAAAAGCCACAGAUUUUUUUUUUCCUGUAUCCAUACGAUCAACUGUCAGUUGGCCCCAGCAAUGGAAAAGAACAGAAUAGAGGAUAAUCCAAUAAAGUGAAAUCAUUUGGGACCUCUUAUGUAAUUUUAUCUUGUAGUAGAGCUUCCAUCUUAAUUUGCUUUGCUUACGCUAAUUUCAUGUGAAUUUAUAUUCUCGGGCAUCAUGCUAGAAUGUAAAUAACCCUGUUCCCAGAAUUAAGAGAUCCAGGCAACCAAGCAGUCUAUACCACUAGCCUUUGGCAAAUGGCUUAAAUUUCCCGGCCUGUUUGUCCAUUCUUGAAUACAGAUAAGAACAUAUGCUUUCCUACUUUAUAAACUCUUAGCACGUUCCACAUUAUGUGAGCUGAGUGACUCAGAGCUGAGCUGGAUUACUGGCCAAAGUUAGCCUGGGAAGAUAAAGAGAUGUUUGAGGUACCUCACACAAAAUUAAUAAGCUGAUGUGGUCAUAGAUAUGUUUCCAGUUGAGGCCCUCACAUGAACCCUUAACUGAAUUAAAUAAAACUGGGACUAGAAAAUGUUGACAUUUUCUGCACUUCCCCAACAAAAAAAAAAGAAAAGAAAAGAAAAGAAAAAAAUAAAUAAAAUGUUGACAUUUCUAGAAAUACAGCCAAACAAGGCUGUACUGAUUCUACACCAAAGCACAACACCGCAUUGCUUGGGCCACUGACCUGAAACUGGGAAGGAGUUCUCUUCUGAAAAAUUGAUAUUUAAAAUCAUUAUGAGGAAAUAGGAUUCCAUAAACAUUUUCCUGAUGAACAAAAAUGGUCGUCUCUAUGUUUAAAACACCACACACACAUAUACCAAAACUGCAUACUCACUUAUUCAUGUGAAAAUCACUGCUUCUUUGUAAAAUAUUACGUAACAUCUACCAUGAUAUUCUACAGAAAUGCUGUACUUGAGGUUAUCUGGUUUGCUGGAGAGAUAUUAACUUAGCAAAAAUUACUUUUAUAAAAUUGAAAGGAAAAAGACCAAUACAUCAACUUAAAUUGCAGGAGUUUAUGUAGCUGCUUUCUCUGUAGUUUAAAAAGCAAUGCAUAAAUGCAUACUCACUAUCCUUGGAACUUAAUACCAGCUCAUCUAUAGAGCACCUUCUUAAAGACGAUGUACUGAUGUAAGGUUUUGUAAAUUUCUAAACUGUUUUAAACGGGAUAUUAUCUUUUGCAAUAAACUUACAUAUUUUUUCUAGGUUUUAAGACUCCAUUACUAGCUUGGGUUGAUUUCAGUUAUAAAAUGUAUGCUUAAGAAGGACACCUCAAUGGUCCUAAGGGCAAGUAUGGCUUUCAUUAUAAUUGCUUCUAUAUAUUUCUAAGGGAAAUAAAUAAAGAGCAGAUUCAGAACUUAGUGUCACG
rnacentral:lncRNA from 1 species